AGAACGAACGCUGGCGGCAUGCUUAACACAUGCAAGUCGAACGCUUGUCCGGCUUCGGCCGGGCGAGAGUGGCGCACGGGUGAGUAGCGCGUGGGAACCUGCCCUGUUGUGGGGGAUAACCGAGGGAAACCUCGGCUAAUACCGCAUAAGCCGGCU
rnacentral:rRNA from 1 species